GAUCAUGACUCAGGGUGAACGCUAGCUACAGGCUUAACACAUGCAAGUCGAGGGGCAGCAUGGUCUUAGCUUGCUAAGGCCGAUGGCGACCGGCGCACGGGUGAGUAACACGUAUCCAACCUGCCGUCUACUCUUGGACAGCCUUCUGAAAGGAAGAUUAAUACAAGAUGGCAUCAUGAGUUCACAUGUUCACAUGAUUAAAGGUAUUCCGGUAGACGAUGGGG
rnacentral:rRNA from 1 species